UUGACAGAAGAGAGUGAGCACACAGAGGCACUUGGCAUAAAGCGUAUGCUAUUGCUUUUGCGUGCUCAUGUCUCUUUCUGUCAG
rfam:Prunus persica cultivar Lovell chromosome G1, whole genome shotgun sequence.